CCAGCAACAUCGCUCCUUCAAAAGUUAUCGGGGUCUUCCCCCAGAUAGCCGCCAAAAGUGAGGACCUGUCCUGCAGGUAUUGGAAUCGGAGGAUGAGAUCAGGUGUCAUGUCCUGCGGGGCCCCUGCUGGCCUGGAGAGGUGGAACAUGCCAUCCAGUUUCAUGGCUUUGGCCUGUUUAGGCGGGAGGAAGGAUUCCAUGAACCACCGUAUGAAAUGAGGUAGGUCUGUAAUCCCCUGUGAUUCUGGUACUCCCCUUAUCUUGAGGUUGUAUCGCCUCCGGUGCUCUUCCAGUGCAUUAAUUCUGCCGUUGGUCUGCUGUAGUUUGUGUUGUAGGUUUUCCAGACCCUGUUCUACCGCAGUCAGCCUGGUGGUGUG